rnacentral:rRNA from 1 species
GUCCACGCCGUAAACGAUGGAUACUAGCUGUUCGGAGCAAUCUGAGUGGCUAAGCGAAAGUGAUAAGUAUCCCACCUGGGAGUACGUUCGCAAGAAUGAAACUCAAAGGAAUUGACGGGGCCCGCACAAGCGGUGGAGCAUGUGGUUUAAUUCGAUGAUACGCGAGGAACCUUACCAAGGCUUAAAUGUAGAUUGACAGGACUGGAAACAGUUUUUCUUCGGACAAUUUACAAGGUGCUGCAUGGUUGUCGU